CACACAGCAGUAUGCAGCAGUGAGAGCACAUUAUCACUCGAUCUUAAAUACAUUUGCAGAACCCCGAGUUUCAAUUCAUUAUGGAGACGAAGAAAUUUUUCAGCACCACUUUCAUCCUGCUUGCUGUGUCAGUUCAGGGUGUCAUGCUGAAUGAUGGUGUCCAUGAGGAAGGAAGAGAAGGCAAUUCUGCAGUCAUCAGAUGUUCUUAUGCUGAACAAUAUAAAACCUCUCCAAAAUAUUUCUGUAAAAAAAACCAUGAACACUGUGAGACUCUUCUAAAAACUGAUGGUCAGAAUGACUGGAAGCUGGAAGGAAGACUGACUCUGUUUGACAACAAAGAGAAAAAUGUGUUUGUGGUGAACAUCGGUAACCUGAGUGUCCAGGAUGCAGGACGAUACAGCUGUGGAGUCGAAACAACAGGACAAGACCUGAUUACUGUAGUCCACCUGACUGUGAUGAAAGAAAGGACCGUUUCAGAAGCAACAUACAGAUCAGGAAGUGUGACAGCGAGCACAGGAAGUUCUACUCAGCCCACAGCAUCGCAGUCACUAUCAGGUAUGGAGUAAGAUGAUCUUUCUAAGCACAGAAAAACAUUUCUGAAAGCAGAAAUGAAGGCACUCAGCUAACCUGGGGAUACUUUGUUAUGACACAUUGCUUGUAUGUCUGGUUUUGACGUUGGUUCAUCAAGUUCAUUAGUUCAGAUGUUUCGGUUUUGACUCUGAACGUGUGUGUGUGUGUGUGUGUGUGUGUGUGGUCGGGUAUGUUAAUUCUGCACUGUCUAAAUUGGAAACUUAAGUUAAAACCACAAUUUUACUUACACAGGGUCAAAAGAUCACACACACACACACACACACACACACACAUCUCACUUCCCCCCAACGCUGACCAGUCUGUGUUGUGUUUUAUUCUGAAAACCACUGUGGUUUACACAGGUUCGCAUAAACUCUGUCUUCAUUCCCCACUCUCACUGUUCAAUUACAUUUUAUUGUAUCAUUUUAAUCCAUUAUUAUUAUAUAUAUAUAUAUAUAUUUGUUUAGAUUUUACAGGCAUCUUUUAUUAUAUUGGAGGGCUUUUGGUGCAGUACUGCUGGUGUUGUCAGUCACUUUCUGUGUCUUUAAAUGCAGAGUAAUUCAGAGCAGUGCAGACACACACUCUCUCUCUCACACACACACUCUCUCUCUCUCUCUCUCUCUCUCUCUCAGGCACAACUUGGCCCAAUUCAGUGGAGGACAUGAAGGAUGUCUGUGUAUAUGAGGAUAUACAGCAGAGCAAUCCUGCAGAAGAGGAAGCCUCAGAAACCCCAGACAUAAUGUUCAGUCCUAACUCUUAUUCAGCGUGCAAGUCAAUAUACGCCAAAUUAACCAAACCAAAGCAAGUGUCCUGUAGUAUAAGACUGGACACUGACCCCAACGAGAAUCUCACAGAACCAAAAUACUAUAUGUUUGAAGAAUUUCCAGAUGCUGGAGAUUUCAGUCAUUCUAGGGGAUACAAUGACACAUAUUCAACUGUACCCAGAGCUAUUAAUAACUCAAGUCCAGUCUACUCAGUAAUCGUCUUUUCCAAAACUGCCAUUAGUUCUGAUUACACAAAUGUGGUGCCACCAAAACAUGAUGAUAAAAUCUCUACAUGAUUGAUUUGUUUCUAGUGUAGGGACAGAGUGCUGGAAAGAGGUGAUUCCAGACACUGAUCAAUACUGGGGCAUAGGCUAUGUACACGGUAUUUAUGUAUGUAUGCAUUUAUUUGCUAAAAACUAGACUUUUUAUGAACUAACUAACUAACUAGCCCCCUAAAUAAACAAAUUGCCUCAAAAAGCAUUCACUGAUGUGAGUAAAUCACAUAAUUUGUAGCUGUAUGCCAAAAUAGAAGAGAUAAGCCAGCCUUCUUUUAGCAGUUAACAAGCUAGCAUUAUUGUUUAAAUCUGCACCAAGUAAAUGUGUUAUUUGUUAUUUAUUUAUAGUUAUUCAACUAAAUAGCUAUUUACACCACUACUUAUUAACAAAGUGAGAAGUGUCUGAUUGCUAGAUACCUCAGAUCUCCUCAGUCCAACAUUUACGGCUUUUCACAGAUGCCCUUAUCCACAGCAACUUACAUUUUUACCUCAUUUUAUACAACUGAGCAAUAGAGGGUUAAGGGCCUUGCUCAGGGGCCCGGCAGUGGCAGCUUGGUGGGCCUGGGUUUCGAAUCACAACCUUCUGAUCAGUAGUUCAACACCUUAACCUGUAAGGUCCACAUCUGAAAACACACAAAAGGUGUCGUAUUCAGAUGUUUUGGCCAAUCCAGUGUUCAUCUACUUCAGAGUGAUAAGUAACGAUGGACAAGCUGAAAAAUUGACAAUCUUUAUUAAAGUACAGAUGUCAGGACUCCAUUACCCAUCAGCCCCUGCACAUCAGAAGACUGGAAGCACUCUUGUGUUGCCUUGAGUUGUGUAUUGCUGUCAUGUUAUGCUUUUGUUGUAUUGGUUCCUGUUCAUUGUUUUUAUUUGUGUUGCACCAAUUAAACCUUAUCUGCACUUCAACUGUAUCAGCCUCCGACUUCAGUACCUGAGAAAACCUGAAAAAACAUCUUUACAUACAU